GAUGAACGCUGGCGGCGUGCCUAACACAUGCAAGUCGAGCGAUCUUCUUCGGAAGAGAGCGGCGGACGGGUGAGUAACGCGUGGGUAACCUGCCCUGUACACACGGAUAACAUACCGAAAGGUAUGCUAAUACGAGAUAAUAUGCUUUUAUCGCAUGGUAGAAGUAUCAAAGCUCCGGCGUUACAGGAUGGACCAGCGUCUGAUUAGCUAGUUGGUAAGGUAACGGCUUACCAAGGCGACGAUCAGUAGCCGACCUGAGAGGGUAAACGGCCACAUUGGAACUGAGACACGGUCCAAACUCCUACGGGAGGCAGCAGGGGGGAAUAUUGCACAAUGGGCGAAAGCCUGAUGCAGCAACGCCGCGUGAGCGAUGAAGGCCUUCGGGUCGUAAAGCUCUGUCCUCAAGGAAGAUAAUGACGGUACUUGAGGAGGAAGCCCCGGCUAACUACGUGCCAGCAGCCGCCGCGG
rnacentral:rRNA from 1 species